GCCGGGCAUGGUUGCGAAUGUCUGUAGUUCCAGCUACUCAGGAGGCUGAGGCAGGAGGAUCGCUUGAGCCUGGGAGCUCGAGGCUUCAGUGAGCUAAGAUCGAGCCACUGAACUCCAGCCUAGGUGACACAGUGAGAUCCUGUCUCAA
rfam:Homo sapiens chromosome 20, GRCh38 reference primary assembly.